AUUCUUUUCCCCCCAUGUUUGCCUUCAGUGUAUUAUUGUUAUUUAUUUGUAGCAACGUUAGUUCAUUUGGUAUAAUGUGUAUUCUGUUUUGGAUUGUCCCACAUCCUGAUUGAUUUUUUUUUAAAUGUUACAUAGAGUAAAAUUUGCUCUUUGUGGUAUAUGUUUCUGCUGGUUUUAACAAGUGCAUAGAACUGUGUACCUACUACCACAACUGUGAUACAGGAGACUUCAACCAACCCAGGAGAUGCUCUUCUGCUGUCCCUUUUUAGUAAUUGCCUCUCUCCCCUCCAGUCCUCGGAAGCCACCGAUACAUCCUCCUCUUGCCCACCCCAUAGUUUUGCAUACAAACCUUUGUGUCUGAUUCCUUCCACUUAGCGUGUACAUUUCAGAUUCAUGGUGCAUUCAUUAUCUGAAUCAAUAGUUUGCUCUUAUCACCAGAAGGACUCCACUGUGUACAUGCAUUGCAGUUUGUUUCUCCAUUUGCUAGUUGAAGGUUAUCUUGAUUGUUUCCAGCUUUUGGUGAUUACAAAUAAAGCUGUUACAAAUGUUUGUACACAGGUAUUUUGUAUGACCACACGUUUUCUUUUCUCUUGGGAAAAUGUCUAGGAGCAGGAGGGCUUAGUGUUAUGGUAAUUGCAUGUUUAACUUUUUAAGAAACUGUCAAAAUGUUUUUUAUAAUGGCUGUACUAUUUUGCAUUUUCCCUAGAAAUGUAGGAGACUCCCAGUUGCUCUGGACAGUUUACUUUGCAGAGUUUAGUGUAAUUUAGAAAGUUUAAUGGUAUUUAUUGUAAUCAAUUUAGUUUUCAGUCUUUGAUCAGAGUCUAAAAAUUGAGGAGGGAUGCUACAAACUUGAUAUCUAUCCACUCUUCAAGAUGAUAAAAUCAUAUGGAGAGUUUGCUUUGAGAAUAAUAAAUGAUGCCCUUAGUAGUCCAUUAAAGACAAUUAAGGAUCAAAGGCAAAUCGACUUCAUAGGAUACUACGUCACCAGUUCUUCACUUUUACAUGGUAGAAAUAAUUUUGGAGACCACAGAGGAAAUACAAUCAAGUAAGAUAUAACUAGCAUUGGUUUAUUAUUACUUUCAUAAUAGGAAGGCGGAAAUAGUGUUUUAAUAAUUGGAAAAAGACAUUUCAACAGAUUUUUUUUUUCUUUUUUGGCCACACCCACAGCGCAUAGAAGUUCCCAGGCCAGGGAUAGCAUCCAAGCAGCAGCUGCGACCUAUGCUGCAGCUGUGCCAAGGUGGGAUCCCUAACCCACUGCACUGGGGCAAGGAUCAAACUGGCACAGUCACAGAGAAAACACUGGAUCAUUAACCCAUUGCGCCACAGCAGGAACUCAACAGAUUCUUUUGAAAGGCCAAUUCUUUUAAUUUUUUAAUAUACUUCCCAAUUAUCUUUUUCUUUCUCGUGACCUCCACAAGUACUAGAAAUAUAGAGCAAUGCAUGCUUCUGUUACCUUCUUAUAUCUAUGUAUAAAAUUGCCUGAAAAUAUAUCUGAACCAGCCUUGCUAACAGUCUCUAAGGUCUUUAUGUAGUGUAUUCAUUUCUAAAUAUUGUGUUCCUUAUGAUUUUCUGAGCCCUGGGCACAUUGGUUCUCAGGACAUGGUGUCAGAUCUAGUUGUUCAUGUCAGCUUAACUUACGUGAUCAUUUUCUCAGUUCCUUAUCUACUAUAAUUAUGCACCCUCAGUAUUUUUGUUCUAGUCAAAAUAGUAUUUUUCCUGUUUUGGGUGAUAGCAAAUUGCUUACUAAAUACUCAGUGAAGUAUUUGCUUCCUUUUUUUUUUUUUUUUUUUUUUGUCUUUGUUGGGAGGGGAGCAGUUUAGUGCAAACCCUACAAUAUACACCUAGAGUGAGAGAGAUGAGAGUAAGGCUCUCCGGAUGGAUAUAAACACUUAAACAGAUAUAUCCAGUGUCCCAAGUAAUAACCUUAGCCCUCAGCUCAGCCAGAGCCUACAAUAGGAAAGAAUAAUGCAAAAGAUAUGCUAAUUAAUAAAGUCUUACUAAUUGGUCUAUUUUGAGGAUAAUUUGUUUCAUAAGUACCAUCUUCAUUAAUGUUUUUAUGGCCCACAAAUAAAUGAAAUAUGAAAACUUACACUCACACGCCCUCUGCAAUCUGUAAGAAAGAACUGCAGGCAGUCACACUGAUCACCCUCAGACCUAAUCGGGGGGUGGCAUCUGUAUGGUGACAGGAGCUGCUGGGAGGUCACCCAGGUGACAUGCACUCUUUUCACACACACCUAGAACAGCUCCUGGUAAACGAAUAAUGUUGUUGAAGCAAUUUGCUGACCCAAAUAUUUAAUAUCUGCAUAGGAGGAAGCAGCGUGUCAAAGAGGUUAAUUGUUACCCCAAGCUACACAAUUAAAAAGAGGCAAAACUGGAACUGGAACUAAGAAUUUGUUUAAGACACUGAGCAUGCCUGUCUCUCCAAGCUUCACUGUGCAGCCAUAGGAACCACUGCCUGCAAAGAUAAAUUUCCCCCCCUCUGUCUUAUGGCUUCGCAGCUGCAUUCUGGCUGCUAGGUGAGUCAUUCUUAGUGACUAUCUGAGUUUAAUGCUUUAACGUGGAGCACACUGUUCAUUUUAAAAGUCACCCCUGAAAUAAUGACCAUGUGCCCGUGCAGUCAAGUUACAUCUCAAAAUCUGAACUCUGCCUAAUUAACCUGUGUUUCCCCAGUGUACAAGAAUUGAGAAGAUUCUACUGUCUCUGUGUCAGUCGGCACCUUGAACAGUAGCAAUUGUUGGAAUGAGAAAAUUAAGAAUAAUGCACUCUUGGAUUCAAAAAACAGCAGAGCUCCAAUUCUCCUUUUCAUAAACUAGAAAAAUUGAAAAAGCUCAUGCCAUUUGUGUACAUGUCUCCAGUAACUUGAAAUUUAAUUAUUUUAGAACUUUUAUCUUAACUAGGGUUUUCCUUAAAACCCUCUUUCCAUAAACUUGUGCCCAUUUCUUUGAAUAGAACUCGAGGCACUACUCAGUCAUUUCAGGAAAGUACAUCUUCCUUUGCUUUGCUUGAGACGGAACAAGAGAAGCAUUGAGUUAUGAUGUUUAGAGCUUGCUUCUUUUUCUGCCAUGCCUAACUAUUAGGGUUCGUUUGUUUUUUUUAAUUGAUAAAAUUGAUGAGAUUGAGGGACCAUGUUAGGGAUAAAAUGAUUGCAGGGCACUAACAUUAAGAGGAAAACGAGGGCUCCAAAAUAAUUCAGUCUGAAACGAAGAGUCCUGCAAUAAUCCUCUCUCCUAAUCCUUACUGAGGAGAGAAACAAUUGUCUGUAUUUUUCUUUCUCCUCACCUGCCUCUCAAAAUAUAGCAGGUUUUCUCAUCACAAUUGUAUUUCACAGGAAGGGUGUGAAGAUAAGUGAGUACCAUUUGUAAAACACUUUAAAGUCAGAGGUGCUAUGCUCGAUGAUAGUGAGAAAGUAGAAGGAAAAUAGGUGACAACUUGCUGAAAAAUCUGUCAUUGUCCAUUUAUGGACAACUUCAGGGUAGCUCAUGAUAAAGUCUUCACCCAAAGGGAUCUUAGAUUGAUUUGCACAAAGAAGCACACUGAGUGUCACUGAACACUUUUAUAUCACUCUUUCAAAAUGGCAACAGUUACACAGAGGCAUAUAAAAGAGGCUACGAGCUAUGCUGAUGUACAGAAAAGACUGAGAAAAAAUUAUGCAGAGCAAAAUAAACUUCCUGCAAUGAACACACACACACACACACACACACACACACACCUAAAACAAAGCCAUGGACAUACCAGUUACACUUAUGCACAAGUAUUGUGAAUUCAAUAAAUCUCAAAGUGGCUUUUGCUCUUUCUCUGAAGUUAAUAUCUUAAAUAAAAGCUUCAUUAUCCACUUAGCAUUCCAAGUUAGAAUAGAGGGCUAGGACAUGACCGAUGACGUCUCCUCACAACUGCCACAAUCUUUUACAAUUGCUUAACUGCAGCUCUGUAAUGUUUCCUACCUGGCAUCUUUACCUUCAAACUUAUCUAACCCCCUAACUCAUCCUAAUACGGUCAUCCAAUUCCAGUUCCCCAUGUGUGCCUGCACUCAUACACACCCACUAUGCUGAUGCUGAUAUGGCCAUUCCUGCAGAAAGAGCUCUGUUGAAGCUUUUGGCCAACAGGUAAACACAGGAACCCUAGCACUGCAGGCCAACUCACUUGAUCUUGCUCAUUAGCUUUUAAAGCUUAUCGCAUACCCAUCUCCAAGGGUGGGCCAAUUCCUGUAAUAAGAGAACUCUGCAUUUCCCAAGUUCUUCAUCCUCUACUGGGAUUAUCUUCUCUGAGCUGGCUUUUCUUUUUUCUUUUCUUUCUUUCUUUCUUUUUUUUUUCUUUGCCUGCUAUGUUAUUUUCUUAUCUCCUCACAAGAAACAAACUAAAUAAGGAACAAAAACUGCAAGAAAUUUGCUCAUCAUAAUUAAGUUAGGGCAUUAUCUUUUUUGUAAAAUUUUACAAGACGAGGUUGAUUUUCCCUCCUCUUUUUUAAUGCAUCCUUUUGUUCACUGCCUUGUAUCACAGUUAUUUAUUUACUUAUUUAUGCUUACUUAUAUAUUCACUUGUCUGGCUUGUCUUUUAAGGUAAAGCAUAGUUUACCUCAUUUAUGUACCCUUAGAGCCUGUUACAGGGCUCAAAACAAUUUAUUCUUGAUAAACAGUUGAGAAAGGGAGGGAAGGAGGAAAAUAAUGAAGGGAGUGAGUGAAGGAAGGUGUGACGGCAGAAUGGGAGAUGUAUUUCUGACAAUGCAACUUGAAAUUGCAGAUGCAUUUUCCUUCAGAAAUACUACUAUUUUGGUAGCUUCACAUGGACUUAGACCACAGCAUUUAUUUCUCAAAACUUAAAACUUAGUUCACAAAAUCUCUCAACUUUAAAAUCACAGUAUUUUACUCACGAUAUCUCAGAUAGAAUAUUUAUAUCACUAAUCGUGUGAGAAAAUACGUUGAGAUAUUGGUUUAUAAAAACAUUACAGGAGUUCCCGUCAUGGCUCAGUGGUUAACAAAUCCGACUAGGAUCCAUGAGGUUUCGGGUUCGAUCCCUGGCCUUGCUCAUUGGGUUGAGGAUCCGGUAUUGCCAUGAGCUGUGGUGUAGGUCACAGACACGUCUCGGAUCCCACGUUGCUGUGGCUCUGGCGUAGGCCGGCGGUGGCUACAGCUCCGAUUCAACCCCCAGCCUGGGAACCUCCAUAUGCCACGGGAGUGGCCCAAGAAAUG
rnacentral:lncRNA from 1 species